AUGUGUGUUCCAAAAGAUCAAGGAGGUAUAAGUUUCCAGGAUUUACACUGUUUCAACCUUGCACUUUUGGCUAAACAAGCGUGGCGUCUUCUUGACAAUCAUGAUUCUUUAUGUCCCACUAUCUUGAGAGUUAAGUAUUUUUCCUGAUGGCGUGAUGAUGAAUGCAACGUUAAAAAAGGGUCCUCUGUUACAUGGCAAAGCAUUACAGCACUGAAAAAUGGCUAUAUGCGAUGA
rnacentral:rRNA from 1 species